rnacentral:lncRNA from 1 species
UCCCACCAUACUCAGUUCCAGCGUGGGACACACACUAGUGGAUUGCUGAUGGGUGGAAAGUUGUGCGUGCCGUGUUGUGUUGCUGACACCGAAGGCAAAAGCCCAGGACCUGGCCCCAGAAUCUGCAGGAGAGCUUCUGUGUCCUGAAUCUGAGGCAGCCCCUUCAGGAAAAGAAUCACAGCCCUGAAGACGUCCAUGUCCCCAUUGCUGGUACCUGUGAGUAUGUUAUGCUUUGUGGCAACAGGGGCUUUGCAGAGGGAAUGGAGGAUACAAAGUUUAAGGUUUCCUGGCUUAUCUGUGGGGGCCCAGCGUGAUUAUAAAUGUCCUUAGAUGUGGAAGGGAGAGGUGGGAGGAAGAAGCAGCGUGGGUCCACGUGAGAUGCAUGGACGGCCGAUGCUGGCUUUGAUGGUGGAGGAAGGGGCUGAGCUCUGAGGAAUGGGGUUUUCACAGGAGCAGGAUACAGCUCUUAGCAAGGGAACCUCUGUCCUGCAGCCACAGGAGCUGAAUUCUGCCAACAACCCACACAAGCUGGAAACAGACACCCCCAGGGCCUCUAGAAGGAAGGCAGCCGGCAGACUGGGGACCCCUGGGAAUGCCCCGUCUCCAGCACACACCAAGCACGGACUGUCUCUGGCCCUUGGGCAAGCUGGAGCAGCCUUUCGUUUCCUGUCUGCCUGUUCGUGCACGCCCCACCCGUCUCCCAAUCCAGGCUGUGAUCCUCACCACCCAGCAAGCAGGCGAGGCACGGCUAGGAACCCAUUUUACAGGUGAGAAAAGUGAGUUUGCGAGACAGGCAGUAAGUGGGCAGGGCCAGGCCAGGCCGGCUCUGUGUUCCUAGGAGACCCCGUGAUGAGCACCCAGCCCCUUCUGCUGCUGCCGGCUGAGGUGAGAGGUGCUUAUAACUCAGAGAUCUUAG